GGAUCGAUGAUGACUCCCUCAAAAAAAACACAGCCAAACCAACAUUCCUUGGAAAACCUGAACAAAAUGAGUGAGAACGACACCCGUUGUCGUUCUCAUCGGUAACUGAGGUCC